rnacentral:rRNA from 1 species
GACGAACGCUGGCGGCGUGCUUAACACAUGCAAGUCGAACGAAGUGGCGAACGGGUGAGUAACGCGUAAUCAACCUGCCCUUCAGAGGGGGACAACCGUUGGAAACGACUGCUAAUACCGCAUACUGAAGGAGGGGAUUGCGUCUGAUUAGCUAGUUGGAGGGGUAACGGCCAACCAAGGCCAUGAUCAGUAGCCGGGCUGAGAGGUAGAACGGCCACAGUGGGACUGAGACACGGCCCAGAUGCCUACGGGAGGCAGCAGGUGGGAAGUAUCCGAAAUGGACGAAAGUCUGACGGAGCAACGCCGCGUGAGUGAUGACGGCCUUCGGGUUGUAAAGCUCUGUUAAUCGGGACGCGGUACCGGAAUAGAAAGCCACGGCUAACUACGUGCCAGCAGCCGCGGUAAUUC